UUAUUAGGUUGAUCACCUCAUGGGAUG
rnacentral:piRNA from 1 species